rnacentral:rRNA from 1 species
UACAGAGGGGGCAAGCGUUGUUCGGAAUUACUGGGCGUAAAGGGCGCGUAGGCGGCCUUCUAAGUCGAACGUGAAAUCCCCGGGCUCAACCCGGGAACUGCGUCCGAUACUGGAAGGCUUGAAUCCGGGAGAGGGAUGCGGAAUUCCAGGUGUAGCGGUGAAAUGCGUAGAUAUCUGGAGGAACACCGGUGGCGAAGGCGACUACCUGGCCUGUUCUUGACGCUGAGGCGCGAAAGCUAGGGGAGCAAACGGG